UCCCUGGAGAGCUCACAUUGCGGGUUAAGAUGGGCCAGUGGGAGUCUCCAGUCUUCAGAUGGGAACUGACCUCGUGGUGAUGCACGUGAAUGUGUAUAUUCAAAGGAGACUCUUUGCUGGGGACAAUAACGCAGGGAGCUUUGGAGAAAGCAUUCAGACAAAUGGUGGCUGAUCACCCUCUUCUCUCUGCCCUUUCCUCCUUAGCAACGAACGGACCCAUAACCAUCUCUACCUUGGCCUUCUUCCCUUCCUUCCCAGUGGAAGAGGGUUCCUCUUCCAGUCCACGGGAGCCCAAGGAGCCUCCCUGUAUGUCUCUUUAUGAGGAAGGAGUGAGGAGAUGGGCCAAACGAUUUGCCCAAAGUUCAAUAGGGGAACCAGACCUGGAAUCCAAGCCUGUGACGGUGAUCACACUGCCCGUGGGAAUCAAUAACACACGCUGGUGCCCUCUAGUACAUUCAGGCUAAAACUUGUAGUGACUCUCAGGGCACAAAACAGAAUAUCACAAUGGCCUUGUUUAUCAACAAAAGCACUUUCUCAUCUACAAAAAAGAUAAAAACAAAACUCAUCCUUCCUUUUUCUGGAAAAUGGACAAAGACUAGACUGCCUCACUGGCCUUGAAACAGAAUUUCCUCAUGCAAGGUUUUGCAGCUCUCUGUAGCUGUGGAUCCACCCUGCGCCACCUAUAAGAUCUCUCUCAGCUGCAGUUAGUCAUUUAUGAAGACUGCUUAUCAGCUCCCUCUGCCCAUGCCGGCUUCUGCAGAAACUGAAGCGUCUAUGCUUCACUUAAGAGACGGCACUAAUGUGUUUGCAUAACAUGGGGCACUGCAGAGCAUGGCUAAUAUAAUAAAGCUCUGCUCAGGUGGCCUCA
rnacentral:lncRNA from 1 species